GAUGCCCCACUCGCCGGUGC
rnacentral:misc_RNA from 1 species